AAUAGAUACCCCGGUAGUCCAUGCCGUAAACGUUGGGCACUAGGUGUGGGACCCCCUCAACGGGUUCCGUGCCGUAGCUAACGCAUUAAGUGCCCCGCCUGGGGAGUACGGCCGCAAGGCUAAAACUCAAAGGAAUUGACGGGGGCCCGCACAAGCAGCGGAGCAUGUUGCUUAAUUCGAGGCAAUGCGAAGAACCUUACCUGGGUUUGACAUGUACGGAAAAGCCACAGAGAUGUGGUGUCCUUUUGGGCCGUACACAGGUGGUGCAUGGUUGUCGUCAGCUCGUGUCGUGAGAUGUUGGGUUAAGUCCCGCAACGAGCGCAACCCUUGUCCUAUGUUGCCAGCGGGUAAUGCCGGGGACUCGUAGGAGACUGCCGGGGACAACUCGGAGGAAGGUGGGGAUGACGUCAAAUCAUCAUGCCCCUUAUGUCCAGGGCUGCAAACAUGCUACAAUGGCCAGUACAAAGGGCUGCUAUACCGCGAGGUUGAGCGAAUCCCACAAAGCUGGUCUCAGUUCGGAUUGGAGUCUGCAACUCGACUCC
rnacentral:rRNA from 1 species